GGGCGUUAAGUUGCAGGGUAUAGACCCGAAACCCGGUGAUCUAGCCAUGGGCAGGUUGAAGGUUGGGUAACACUAACUGGAGGACCGAACCGACUAAUGUUGAAAAAUUAGCGGAUGACCUGUGGCUGGGGGUGAAAGGCCAAUCAAACCGGGAGAUAGCUGGUUCUCCCCGAAAGCUAUUUAGGUAGCGCCUCGUGAAUUCAUCUCCGGGGGUAGAGCACUGUUUCGGCUAGGGGGCCAUCCCGGCUUACCAACCCGAUGCAAACUGCGAAUACCGGAGAAUGUUAUCACGGGAGACACACGGCGGGUGCUAACGUCCGUCGUGAAGAGGGAAACAACCCAGACCGCCAGCUAAGGUCCCAAAGUCAUGGUUAAGUGGGAAACGAUGUGGGAAGGCCCAGACAGCCAGGAUGUUGGCUUAGAAGCAGCCAUCAUUUAAAGAAAGCGUAAUAGCUCACUGGUCGAGUCGGCCUGCGCGGAAGAUGUAACGGGGCUAAACCAUGCACCGAAGCUGCGGCAGCGACGCUUAUGCGUUGUUGGGUAGGGGAGCGUUCUGUAAGCCUGCGAAGGUGGCCUGUGAGGGUUGCUGGAGGUAUCAGAAGUGCGAAUGCUGACAUAAGUAACGAUAAAGCGGGUGAAAAGC
rnacentral:rRNA from 1 species